AUGGACAUACCUCUGGUGUACCAGUUGUUCUGCCAAGAGCACCGCUGGGUAGCUACGUAUGGAUUAGAUAAUCGCUGAAAGCAUCUAAGUGAGAAACUAACCUCGAGAUGAGAUUUCCCAUUCGUCAGAAGUAAGACCCCUGAGAGACGAUCAGGUAGAUAGGCUAGAAGUGGAAGUGUAGUGAUGCAUGGAGCGGACUAGUACUAAUAGGUCGAGGACUUAACCAAG
rnacentral:rRNA from 1 species